AUCUCCUGUGGUGCAAUGGGUUAGUGCAUCAGGCUAUUAACCAGAAGGUUGGUGGUUCAAGCCCACCCAGGGAUA